UCCUAGGAGCUGGACCAUCCUCCGUGGCC
rnacentral:piRNA from 1 species